rnacentral:rRNA from 1 species
GAGUGAACGCUGGUGGUAGGCCUAACACAUGCAAGUCGAACGGCAGCACAGUAAGAGCUUGCUCUUACGGGUGGCGAGUGGCGGACGGGUGAGGAAUACAUCGGAAUCUACUUUUUCGUGGGGGAUAACGUAGGGAAACUUACGCUAAUACCGCAUACGACCUACGGGUGAAAGCAGGGGAUCUUCGGACCUUGCGCGAUUGAAUGAGCCGAUGUCGGAUUAGCUAGUUGGCGGGGUAAAGGCCCACCAAGGCGACGAUCCGUAGCUGGUCUGAGAGGAUGAUCAGCCACACUGGAACUGAGACACGGUCCAGACUCCUACGGGAGGCAGCAGUGGGGAAUAUUGGACAAUGGGCGCAAGCCUGAUCCAGCCAUACCGCGUGGGUGAAGAAGGCCUUCGGGUUGUAAAGCCCUUUUGUUGGGAAAGAAAAGCAGCAGGUUAAUACCCCGCUGUUCUGACGGUACCCAAAGAAUAAGCACCGGCUAACUUCGUG